AUAAAAAUUAUUUUAAAUAUUAAAAAAUUCAAACAUGUUUAUUAAUAUUAUUUUUAAAUUAUUUAUCGUUGUUUAAAGAAUAAAUUUAUCAUAAUUUUAAAAUAAUUUACAGAAUGUUAUAAAUUAUUAAUAAAAAAUUUACUUUAUAUUGAAUAUUUGUUUAUUGUUAAAUAUUUUUUAGAAUUUCUUUUUGAUUUAUUUUUUCCAUCGACACUACUAAAAAGGAAAGCCCUCUAAAUACUUACCUUAUUUUGUAAUUUCGAUAUAUCAUUAAUUCAUCGAUCCCACUAUAAUAGGAAAGUACCUUUGAAUACUAAUUGCAAGGGAAAACAUAAUUUAAUGACCAAUUAACAUCACUUUCCAAAUGACUUACAUAAUAUUAUUAAUAACUAUUUAUGGUAACUAAUUGUCGAAAGUAUAGUAUAUAAAUCCAUUUUAUUAAUUCAAAUAAAUAUUUUGGAUUCCAAAUGACUUACAUAAUAUUAUUAAUAACUAUUUAUGGUAACUAAUUGUCGAAAUUAUGGUAUACAAAGUCAUUUUAUCAAUUCAAGUAAAUAUUUUGGUUUAUUAUUCUAUGUAGUCUAUAGAUAUAUUAGAAUAUAAAGUCAUUUUAUCAAAUCAAAUAAUUUAUUUUAAUUCAUCGAUCCCCUAUAAAAGGAAAGUAACAUUGAAUACUGAUUGAAAAGGAAAAAAUAAUUUAAUCCCUCUAUUAACAUUACUUGCGCAACAAUAUUAGUUAAUACAUGUAAUAAUUAGUUUCCUUAUUACAAAUGGAAAGAAUUCUCUUGAUUUUGUUGAUUGAUUUUUUAGAAUUUCUUUUUCGAUUUAUUUUAAUCAUCGACACUACUAAAAAUGAAAUCACUUUAAUACUUAACUUUUGUGUUUUCUCGAUUCAAAGAACAUCUUUUUGCGAUCAUUUCUCUGUUUAAUUCAUUAAAUACUCACUAAAUAUUUUAGAUGUUAGAGAAACGAAAUUAAUUGACAAGAUAUUUUCUCUCCUAAAAUCAUGCAUUUAAAACUUAAUAUUUAUGGUGAGACUUGUCAACCAAAAUUCUGGUGCAAUCUAUUCACGAGAUGUUCUCCUUUAGCUUUAUUAACAAGAUAUUCCAAAAAUAAUAUUACCUUAUAAGUAUAAGAUUUAUUGAGAAUUUAUUAAAGAAUAUUCUACUUCUUAGCUUAUCAUGCAAGCUAAAUCAAUGAGAAACGUCUACCAAUUUACUAUAAAUAAGACAUUCACAGUAGAAGAAACGAAAUAAUUGAACUUUGUAUUCUGAACUUUUAAUGUUAAUAAUGUUCUGAACUUUUUUUUCUUCUUAUUUUAGAACAUUAAGCUUUUAUAUUUCAAGAGAGCUGAUUUUUCUUUUGGUUUAUAUGCAGAUACCCUAUUAUGACGAUUUCUCCACUGAAGCUAUAUAUGAUUUGAUUGUACACCUCUUUGAUAUAUCAUUUCGAUAACAUCUUUGUUCCUCAAUCUGAGAUGAUUUGAGAGAAGUGGUCAUAUUUCAGACCUCUAAGAGUUCACCAUUCCGAUCCUGCAAAAGAUGUGCACUUAGAAUGGUAUUUUCUCUACUGUACAUCAAAAUUGGAUAAUCAAUUAUAUUUUUAAAAUAUCUAUAGUAGGAUGGUAUUUUCUCUACUGAAAUAAUAUCUUAUUUCCUAAUCUCAUGCUUUAAUAUUUAAACUUUAAGGACAAGAUUUGUUAAUUAAAUCAUUAGUGUAAACUACUCUCGAGAUAUUCUCUUCUUUUAUAUUUAAAAUGUAAUUUUAGUAACAAUAUAUUCCAUAAAUAAUCCUAACUUAUAGGUAGAUACAUUUUUAAAAUUAAUUUGAGAACAUUCUAUUACAUAGCUUAUUGUGAAAGCUAAAUAUUUUAGUAAAGUCUAGCAUUUUACUUAUCUUUUGUGUUUUCUCGAUUCAAAUAACAUCUUUUGAGAUCAUUUCUCUGUUUAAUUCAUUAAAUACUCACUAAAUAUUUUAGAUGUCAGAGAAAUGAAAUUAAUUGACAAGAUAUUUUCUCUCCUAAAAUCAUGCAUUUAAAACUUAAUAUUUAUGGUGAGACUUGUCAACCAAAAUUCUGGUGCAAUCUAUUCACUAGAUGUUCUCAUUUAGCUUUAUUAACAAGAUAUUCCAAAAAUAAUAUUACCUUAUAAGUAUAAGAUUUAUUGAGAAUUUAUUAAAGAAUAUUCUACUUCUUAGCUUAUCAUGUUUUUAUCAAAAGAAAACGUCAGUAGAUCAAAUUAAUUUUUACAUGUUCUUUCAGGCUUGAGUUUAUCAGAAGAUCAAAUUAAGAGUUUAUCUUUGGCGGAGAUUGAAUCAAUCAUGCGUUUGAACGGAAGCUCAUUUACAUUGUUUAAGUUUUGAAACGUGUUAUCAAUAGUAUACUCUUCUAUUGGUUAAGAUGUGGCUUUUGUUAGAUUUUCUAUUAAUUAAUUUUUUUUGUUUUACUUUUGUGGAAUUCGCGAUAUUGUAAUGUUUUAAAUCAAUAAUAAAGACAUUUUUCUCACUAUUAAUAGGUGAGAGAGAUAGGGAGGGAGAGGGAGGGAGGAGGAGAGGGGAGAGAGUGGGAGAGAGGGAGAGAGAUUAGUGUUUACGGUAUAUCCAAAAGUUUUGAGUUUAUUGUUUAUGAUUUAUCCGGUAAAGCCAAAGGGUUAGAGUAUACUCAAAGGUUUAAGGUUUACCAAGAGUUUAGAGUUUAAAAAUUAAUGAAUGUAAUUUGUAUAUUUUACAAUAAAAAAUAAAAACUAACAGCAAAGUAGAUUGCAUUAUAUCUUGAAUUAAAUAAUGUUAAGAAGAUUUAUAGUUUUCAACCACAAAUAAUGAAUCAUAACUAUGUGAUUAUUAUACAUAUAAUAUAUAUUAUGCAUAUACAUGUCAUUGGAUGUAAAAAUUAACUAACCAUGUAAAAUUAAACUAAUCAUAAUAUUAAUAUCCGCAUAUGCGAUAAAAUAUCCGCAUAUGCGAUACAAUAUCCGCAGUCACUCCAUAGAGAGCUGGAUAUUUAAUCGCCGAGUUAAUAGUUUUGAUAAGCUGACAGAGUCUGAUUCGAAAAUCACCGACUGCAAUUCGUAUCUUCUCUCUGCUCAACCCAUUUCUAACAUUAUUUAUUCCAUAUUUAUUACAUAUUUUGAACUUUUUAUU